rnacentral:rRNA from 1 species
AUUGAACGCUGGCGGCAUGCUUUACACAUGCAAGUCGAACGGCAGCGCGGGCUUCGGCCUCGCGGCGAGUGGCGAACGGGGGAGUAAUGCAUCGGAACGUGCCCAGAAGUGGCGGAUAGCGCGGCGAAAGCCGGAUUAAUACCGCAUACAACCUGUGGGUGAAAGCGGGGGACCGAAAGGCGUCUCGCUAUUGUAGCGGCCUAUGUCGGAUUAGCUAGGUGGUGGGGUAACGGCUUACCAAGGCUACGAUCCGUAGCUGGUAUGAGAGGACGACCAGACACACGGUGACUGAGGAAGGGCAGCGACACCGAGAGGGGGACGCGGUCGGGAAUUUUAGACGAUGGAGCAGUGGCGAAUACUGCCCUGCCGCGUGCGGCAAGAAGCCCUUAGGCCUGGAGAGCGAUUUAGUCCGGGAAGUAGUCAUCUGGGCUAAUACCGCGGGGGGAUGACGGUACCGGAAGAAUAAGCACCGGCUAACUCCGUG